rnacentral:lncRNA from 1 species
GCCAAAUCUCAGACCUGCUGGGAGACUGUUUUCAGGUGCACCCUCGUGUGUGAGCAACAGAAACCUGAGAAGAUGGGAAGAGGAAGCUUAAGGGCCUGUUCCUGAGAUGAGAAAGAUGAAGUUUAAGCAUGGUUCCAGAAUCUGAGAUGCGGUAGAUGAUGCUGAAGCAGCACUGAGGCUUCUGCAGUAUCUGCAGUCCAGUGUGUGCCUGCUGGCUCCCCUAAAC